AUACAUGCAAGUCGAGCGAACAGACGAGGAGCUUGCUCCUCUGACGUUAGCGGCGGACGGGUGAGUAACACGUGGAUAACCUACCUAUAAGACUGGGAUAACUUCGGGAAACCGGAGCUAAUACCGGAUAAUAUAUUAAACCGCAUGGUUCAAUAGUGAAAGACGGUUUUGCUGUCACUUAUAGAUGGAUCCGCGCCGCAUUAGCUAGUUGGUAAGGUAACGGCUUACCAAGGCAACGAUGCGUAGCCGACCUGAGAGGGUGAUCGGCCACACUGGAACUGAGACACGGUCCAGACUCCUACGGGAGGCAGCAGUAGGGAAUCUUCCGCAAUGGGCGAAAGCCUGACGGAGCAACGCCGCGUGAGUGAUGAAGGUCUUCGGAUCGUAAAACUCUGUUAUUAGGGAAGAACAAAUGUGUAAGUAACUAUGCACGUCUUGACGGUACCUAAUCAGAAAGCCACGGCUAACUACGUGCCAGCAGCCGCGGUAAUACGUAGGUGGCAAGCGUUAUCCGGAAUUAUUGGGCGUAAAGCGCGCGUAGGCGGUUUUUUAAGUCUGAUGUGAAAGCCCACGGCUCAACCGUGGAGGGUCAUUGGAAACUGGAAAACUUGAGUGCAGAAGAGGAAAGUGGAAUUCCAUGUGUAGCGGUGAAAUGCGCAGAGAUAUGGAGGAACACCAGUGGCGAAGGCGACUUUCUGGUCUGUAACUGACGCUGAUGUGCGAAAGCGUGGGUAUCAAACAGGAUUAGAUACCCUGGUAGUCCACGCCGUAAACGAUGAGUGCUAAGUGUUAGGGGGUUUCCGCCCCUUAGUGCUGCAGCUAACGCAUUAAGCACUCCGCCUGGGGAGUACGACCGCAAGGUUGAAACUCAAAGGAAUUGACGGGG
rnacentral:rRNA from 1 species